rnacentral:rRNA from 1 species
AUUGAACGCUGGCGGCACGCUUAACACAUGCAAGUCGAGCGGGGUGAUGGUGCUUGCACUAUUACUUAGCGGCGGACGGGUGAGUAAUGCUUAGGAAUCUGCCUAUUAGUGGGGGACAACAUCUCGAAAGGGAUGCUAAUACCGCAUACGUCCUACGGGAGAAAGCAGGGGAUCACUUGUGACCUUGCGCUAAUAGAUGAGCCUAAGUCGGAUUAGCUAGUUGGUGGGGUAAAGGCCUACCAAGGCGACGAUCUGUAGCGGGUCUGAGAGGAUGAUCCGCCACACUGGGACUGAGACACGGCCCAGACUCCUACGGGAGGCAGCAGGGGGGAAUAUUGGACAAUGGGGGGAACCCUGAUCCAGCCAUGCCGCGUGUGUGAAGAAGGCCUUAUGGUUGUAAAGCACUUUAAGCGAGGAGGAGGCUCUUUUGGUUAAUACCCAAGAUGAGUGGACGUUACUCGCAGAAUAAGCACCGGCUAACUCUGUGCCAGCAGCCGCCGCCG